UACGUAGGGGGCGAGCGUUGUCCGGAUUUAUUGGGCGUAAAGAGCUCGUAGGCGGUUCGGUAAGUCGGAUGUGAAAUCUCCACGCUCAACGUGGAGGGGCCAUUCGAUACUGCCGUGACUCGAGUCCGGUAGGGGAGUGUGGAAUUCCCGGUGUAGCGGUGAAAUGCGCAGAGAUCGGGAGGAACACCCGUAGCGAAGGCGGCACUCUGGGCCGGUACUGACGCUGAGGAGUGAAAGCGUGGGGAGCGAACAGG
rnacentral:rRNA from 1 species